rnacentral:rRNA from 1 species
GCUUACGGCCACACCGGCCUGAGUACGCCCUGAUCUCGUCCGAUCUCGGAAGCUAAGCAGGGUCGGGCCUGGUUAGUACUUGGAUGGGAGACCGCCUGGGAAUACCAGGUGCCUGUAAGCU